rnacentral:rRNA from 1 species
AGGAAUAUUGGUCAAUGGGCGGGAGCCUGAACCAGCCAAGUAGCGUGAAGGACGACGGCCCUACGGGUUGUAAACUUCUUUUAUAAGGGAAUAAAGUUCGCCACGUGUGGUGUUUUGUAUGUACCUUAUGAAUAAGCAUCGGCUAAUUCCGUGCCAGCAGCCGCGGUAAUACGGAAGAUGCGAGCGUUAUCCGGAUUUAUUGGGUUUAAAGGGUGCGUAGGCGGUUUGAUAAGUUAGAGGUGAAAUUUCGGGGCUCAACCCUGAACGUGCCUCUAAUACUGUUGAGCUAGAGAGUAGUUGCGGUAGGCGGAAUGUAUGGUGUAGCGGUGAAAUGCUUAGAGAUCAUACAGAACACCGAUUGCGAAGGCAGCUUACCAAACUAUAUCUGACGUUGAGGCACGAAAGCGUGGGGAGCAAACAGGAUUAGAUACCCUGGUAGUCCACGCAGUAAACGAUGAUAACUCGUUGUCGGCGAUACACAGUCGGUGACUAAGCGAAAGCGAUAAGUUAUCCACCUGGGGAGUACGUUCGCAAGAAUGAAACUCAAAGGAAUUGACGGGGGCCCGCACAAGCGGAGGAACAUGUGGUUUAAUUCGAUGAUACGCGAGGAACCUUACCCGGGCUUGAAAGUUAGCGACGAUUCUUGAAAGAGGAUUUCCCUUCGGGGCGCGAAACUAGGUGCUGCAUGGUUGUCGUCAGCUCGUGCCGUGAGGUGUCGGGUUAAGUCCCAUAACGAGCGCAACCCCUACCGUUAGUUGCCAUCAGGUCAAGCUGGGCACUCUGGCGGGACUGCCGGUGUAAGCCGAGAGGAAGGUGGGGAUGACGUCAAAUCAGCACGGCCCUUACGUCCGGGGCUACACACGUGUUACAAUGGUAGGUACAGAGGGCAGCUACCCAGCGAUGGGAUGCGAAUCUCGAAAGCCUAUCUCAGUUCGGAUUGGAGGCUGAAACCCGCCUCCAUGAAGUUGGAUUCGCUAGUAAUCGCGCAUCAGCCAUGGCGCGGUGAAUACGUUCCCG